UUGGCUAAGAUCAAGUGUAGUAUCUGUUCUUAUCAGUUUAAUAUCUGAUACGUGGACCAUCGGUCCACAUGAUAUUAAAUUAAUUUUUCUAGGGGGAUAGCCCACCACGGCAGCUUGCUGCUGGGGCUCUCAAGCGUCGCUUUGGCGUUGCACUACUGCCUUGGCCAGGCGCACCUCACCAAUUCUAGUCUACAUGUCUUCACUAAAUAUAAACAAAGAGCGUUGUCAUCAUUGUCUAAACAGAAACCUAGAGCAGCAUUAUCAUCAUCGUUGUCAAACAGAAACGUAGAGCAGCAUCAUCGUCGUCAUCAUCAAUGGGAGGAGCUCAUACUAGCCAAAGGUAUCCCAACUUGAAACAUACUUACCUGGACGGGGUCGAUGGGCGAUCAAGAAGGCCCAUGGCCUAGGUUGGUGACUUCCAUUGCACUUUGGAGGGGUGCUCGCCUAAGGUCUGUCUAAAUGGUGGAGCCUACGUCAUAAUUUGUGGUAGCGGGGGCUUGCGUUCGCGCAGCCCCCAACCCAAAUCAUAGUAUCAAACAUGUGUUGUGCUCGAUAAAUUUGUUCAAGUUUUUAUUUGGAUAUGACAGGAGAAAUGAUUUUAGUUUGAUGGAAGUUGGAAUUUUCAUAAUUCCAGAAUUUGUUGACCAUAUUAUAACUAUUUGAACAAGUUCCUCCGUGACUUGAAAAGAAAGGUGAAGAACAAAGUGACAGUCGGGGCGUCCAUUGUCCAGGCAUACAUUAGCGAAAAAAUCGGGCUAUUCACUUUCCACCACUUUGAGCAGCACGUUCUUUGAAAGCGAAGUAGGCAUGGUAGAAAUGAUGAUCUUACGAGGAAUGAUGAUAGCAUUUCAACUAUCCUUGUUGGGGAAGUGGGGCUUCAUAGAAGAGAUGGCUCUACGGGUUCAUGACGUCAUUUCAUCGAGACUUAUGUGUUAUGCAACUAUGAUAUAGUCACGCCCUAUUACGAGUAAGAAUAUACAUGUUUUUGCACAUUGUGAUUGUGAACAUAUAUAAAAGAAAAAAAAAAUUGGUGGGUGUCCAUUUUUCAAAAAUC